GCAUGCAGGUUUCGAAAGACCGUGAUCAACAACUUAGAUUACAAAACAAGCUUGCACACACGAAACCAAUCAUUUAAUUUGAGAUACAGACAAGUAUACCGACCGUCUUCAAACAGACAAUUUUAUACCGAAAGGAUAAAGAUUUUGAGAUAUUUUUCAAGAUGAAAAUCUCAGUGGCAAUGAUUAUGGCAAUUGGCGUGGUCGUAAUGGCUACGUUGGCCCAAGGUCAGUGGCCCAACAAAGACCAAUGCUUCCCUUCAAGGUUCGAAUGCCUUCGACUUGCUCCUCUGUCAAAGUCCGGGGCAUCACAGACUUGUAAACAACGUUGUGAUUGCAGUGGCUAUCAGUAUUCAGACUGCCUGCGAACUUCCUGCUCCAGAGGCGGCGAAGGCUGGCAGUGUCGAUGUUCCGGUCGUCGCAGACCACAGAGUCAGAGACCUGCAUGGUGUAAUCGUAAAAAUAAUGACUCCUAAAUAGAUAAAAAGGAGGUAAACACACAUACACACAAUGUAACCACUGAAGCAUAAAUACGCUUCAUAUGGUCGUUAAUCUAUAGAUUUAGGUUUAUAACUGUAAGUUUCGUUUGACGCUUUUGUACUCUUGAACUUUUAAGCUUAAUAAAAUUCAACAAACCGAAAA